rnacentral:rRNA from 1 species
GAUGAACGCUGGCGGCGUGCCUAAUACAUGCAAGUCGAGCGCAGAGAUGAGGAACUUGUUCCACUGACGUUAGCAGCGGACGGGUGAGUAACACGUGGAGAACCUACCUAUAAGACUGGGAUAACUUCUGGAAACGGAAGCUAAUACCGCAUAAAAUCUUUAACCACAUGGUUCAAUAGUGAAAGACGGAUUUGCAUCCACUUAUAGAUAUAUCCGCUCCGAUUUAUCUAUUUGGGAAGGUAAGGGUCUACCAAGCGAAGAAUCAGAAGCGAACCGGGGAGGGUGUUCGGCCAAACUGGAACGAGAACACGGUCCAGCCUCCUCCGGGAGGAGCAAGUAGGGAAUCUUGGCCAAUGGGCGAAAGCCUGCCGGAGCAACGCGGCGUGAGGGAUGAAGGUUUUCGGAUGUAAAAACUCUGUUAUUAGGAAAGAAGAAGUGUGUAAGUAAAUAUGCACGAAUUGACGGUAACUAAUCAGAAAGCCACGGCUAACUACGUG